GUCAUAGCAACAGCCCUCUAUGCUCAGUAUCACUGUUGUCGUAGCACAGCUGUAAUGAAACCUCUUAAGGAGCAGCACCCAGUCGCCUCAAGGAACUGAAAAUCCAGUAGAAGAGCUGACACUACACCAGUCUCCAGUGACAGAGACCCUUCCUCAGAUGCAAUGUCAGAGAAGAGUUUCUUCACGGGAUCCAUAAAAAGCUGAGACUAGAAGCCAGAGACUUGCACAUGCUAGGCAAGCACUCCACCACUGAACAUCAGCAACAGACUUGAUGCUGCGUACUGAAUCCAUAAGCAUCAGGGUCAUCUUUAUCCCAGGCAAUCUAUUUGGGUCCAGAAAAGCCUAUUUGACAUGUGGUUGUAUGGUCUGGAUUCCUCUGCUAAUUUCAUUCUAAAUCAUGUUUUAUAACUAACCACUCUUGCAACAAAUAUUCACUAAAUGUUGACAGUGGGCCAGCCAAGCAGCUGAGCUCAGGGAAUGGGGAGAAUGAGGCAGAUACAGACAGGCUUUUACCCUAAGCUCAGGAGUGAGUGGAUUAGAAUGGCAAAGUGUACAAACGUGUUUAGUAGCAAACCGUGCAUGUUAGAGGUGAUGAGAUACAGGCUGCAGAGGGCCCCAGGGAGGCUUCCCUCUGACACUUGAAAUGUAAGCAUGCCCUAUGUCAGGUGGGGAAACUGAUGGGCCUCCAUCUGCAUGGCUUUGGGACUGAUCCGACUCAGACAAUAAAGGAAUGAAGAAAGGACAGACACACAGACACACAGACAGAAAAGCUGAAGUUAGAUGGACCAUGCACUUUGAUGGAGACAGACCAGCCGCCGUAGCCCAGAAACUCAGAAUGUGCAUUUUAAACAGUUGAAUCUGGGACACAGGUUUAGCUAACCGUGGCAUGGGGUUAGUCUCUGGCUGUAGACAUCCCACGGCGAGAAGGAAGCAUCCAGUCCAUCAGCAUUUUCUGCACGUGCUGUCAACACCUGCACAUGGACCGCGGAAGGAUUUGAAGCACUGGGAUCCUUGACAUGGCUGUGGACACGCUCACACUCACUCAGGACUCCAUCCACUCUCACACUAACAGAAUCUGGGCUAAGCUGAGACCUGGGCCAGGCUAGAUCCUUCCAGAAACUUGAUUCCAGCUUCCAAAGAGCAGUGGCGCCUAGAGGAAAAGUUGAGAAAGCUGCCUUUGUGGUGGUACAUACCUUUAAUCCCAGCACUGACUGAUUAUAUGGAGGUAGGAAGAUCAGGCCUGCAAGGCGAGCCUCCGCUAUUUAGAGUUGGAGGUUAGCCUGGACUGCAUGAGACCCUGUCUAGGGUAAACAGGGGCAGGGGGCAGGUAAAAGAAAGACAGAAGACUGGUCACUUCUUAGCCAGUCCUGAGCAGGAAAGAGUAGCUGGCCUCCAAGAUAAACACCAGGAAACAUUUCUGCUUAAUUCCCAUUUCUUUUUUAGAAUCUUUCUUGCAGUUAAUUCUUUAAAAUAUAUAUAAUUAUAUAGAUAUAGAUAAUUAUAUAUGUACAUACAUUUAUAUACAAUUCUUUAAUAUAGCCUAUAUAUUCAAUAUAUAUUGAAUUAAAUAUUACAUUCAGUUCUACACACACCAACACACACACACACACACACACACACACACAUUUGAAAACAUGGUUCAGCAGUUAAGAGCAUUCAUUGCUCUUUUAAGGACCAAGAUUUGAUUUCCAGCCCCCCCGGUGGUGGUCCACAUCUGUAACUCCAGUUCCAGAGGAUGCAAUAGCCUCUCUGAUCUCCACAGAGACACCAGGCACACACACAUAAAGCCAAAAAUGAAGUUUAAUUUUAAAAAGAUUUAUUGUUGAAAAAUUGGGGAAACAUUGAGGGAUCCAGAGAGGACAGGGACUCCACAAGAAGACCAACAGUCAACUAAGCUGGACUUUUGGGGACUCCCAGAGACUGAACCACUAACCAAAGAGCAUACAUGUACUGAACCUAGGCCCCCACACACAUAUUUAGCAGAUAUGCAGCUUGGUCUUCAUGCUAAUCUCCCAACAAAUGGAGCAGGGGCUGUCCCUGAAUCUGUUGCUUGCUAGUGGAUCCUUUUCCCCUAACUGGGCUGCCUUGUCAGACCUCAGUGGGAGAGGAUGUGCCUAGCCCUACAGUGACUUGAGGUACAAGGAUGGGUUGGUAACUGGGAGGAGGGGGAACCUUCUCCUACUCAGAGGAGAGGGAAAGGGGGAGGGACUGUUUCAGGGGUGGACUGGGAAGAGAGCAGGUCUAUGAUCGGGAUAUGAAGUAAAUAAAUAAAUAAAUAGAUGGAUAGAUAGAUAGAUAGAUAGAUAGAUAGAUAGAUAGAUAGAUAGAUAAAUAAGGAGGGGUAGUUUGGGUUAUGAGCCUAGCCUUUAAUGGCUGAGCCAUCUCUCCAGAAUCCUAACAGAGGGAGCUGGUGUAUCUCUGACUCAAAGGACUUUUCCUUUCCUAUUUGGUUGCCUAGUCCAGCCUUGUUCACCUUAUCUUACUGUGUUUUGUUUUGUCCUGUUUGUCUUUUGGAGGCCUGCUCUUUCCUAAAAAAGGAAACUAAGAGUGAGUGGAUGUGGGGGAAAAUUCAGAGGGGGAGGAGCUAAGAGGGGUAAAGGACAGGGGAGGGGAUGUAGUUGGAAUGCACUGUAUGACAAAAGAAACUAUUUUUAAUUUCAAAAAAAAAUAUUUAAGAAGUUAUUUAUUUCUGAGUCUGAAUGUUUUGCCUGCAUGUUUGUGUGUAGCAUGUAGCUAUCCAGAAAUCAGAAGAGGGCAUUGAAUCCCCUGGAAUUGAAUUUACAGGGAGUUGUGGGCUGCUGUGUGGGUGCUGGGAACUCAACCAAGGUCUCUGCAAGAGCACCAAGUGCUCUUAACCACUGAGCCAUUUCUCCACACUGCCACCACCACCACCUCCACUGCCACCACAGCGGAUACCAUACUGCCUCACAGAUGGGGAGAUGGAGGCUUGAAGUAUCUGCUUCCCCAGUGUCCAGAUCACAAAAUGGACAAAAUAAAAGCUAUGGCACGAACACA